rnacentral:rRNA from 1 species
GAUGAACGCUGGCGGCGUGCUUAACACAUGCAAGUCGAACGAGGUCCAAGCUUCGGCUGAAGACCUAGUGGCGAACGGGCGAGUAACACGUGGGCAACCUGCCCUCCACUCUGGGAUAACUCAGGGAAACUUGAGCUAAUACCGGAUACUUCGGAAUGGUCGCAUGGCCGAUCCGAGAAAGCUCCGGCGGUGGAGGAUGGGCCCGCGGCCUAUCAGCUUGUUGGUGGGGUAGUGGCCUACCAAGGCGACGACGGGUAGCCGGCCUGAGAGGGUGACCGGCCACACUGGGACUGAGACACGGCCCAGACUCCUACGGGAGGCAGCAGUGGGGAAUAUUGCGCAAUGGGCGGAAGCCUGACGCAGCGACGCCGCGUGGGGGAUGACGGCCUUCGGGUUGUAAACCUCUUUCAGCAGGGACGAAGCCCGCAAGGGUGACGGUACCUGCAGAAGAAGCACCGGCCAACUACGUGCCAGCCGCCGCCGUAACAC